UGAAGCCUUUACAGCAGAAGCCGUAGUCUUUAUAUUUUGAAAAGCAUUGUGGUUUGUGAAAGAAAAGAUUUCUUCACAUUGAAGGAGUUGAGAAAGAUGUGACUUGUUUGCUUUGCCUGAUGGUCACUGAUGGGACUUCUGCUCAGUACUGUGGGACUUGGCCAAGAUCUGAGUAACCACAUGUGCCAAAGCAAAAAUAUUGUGGUGGAGCCCAAGCUAGUGAUGAAGACUGUGCAAGAUGUGAAGAAGUGAAAUUAAAACCUGACCUGGUUUUUAGAGAUCUCCAAAUUUGAGGGCUGCUUCCACCUGAAUCUCUGCUCUGGGAAAUGUCUCUGUAACCAUUGUUCUAUCACCGACACGGAUCCACCUGUCAGCCUCAUGUUUAGAGGCAUUACUUCAUUGUUGCACUGGCACUGCUGGAGAGCUAUCUGCUCCUCAUCAGGACAUCUGGCUGUGGGAAAGAGCGUGCUCUGUUCCUCCACUGUAAGCAGAUUAAUGUGCUUGGUUUAACAACCUGCUUGAGAUUUAACUAUUAAUAAUUUUUGUUUCCUACUGCUACUUUUUCAGUUUGGAUACACUUUUACCAGCAAAGCCUGAGUGUUGUGCAGAAGCAUUCAGGAGGUAUAUAAACAAGGUCAUAAGGUCUUUGCGUGUGCCUUUAGAGGAAUUAAAGCUGAAUUGAGUCCUACAAGUGGAAAGCAAAAUUGAAAAUGUGUAUACUUCAGUGUGCUUUUCCAAGAACAGGAUCUUCUUAACAGCAGGCAACAAAAGCUGCAGAAGUAGCUAUGUUGCUUUGCAGAGAGGAUAUGACAGUGCUAUUUUCUCAUUGUGCAAAUCAAACAAUGUCUGCUUCAUAUCAGGCCCUCUGGUGCAGCCCCAUUGUUUGCUGCUAUUCCUGAUGUCCCUCGGCCACCUCGGCCUUGUACAGGGAGCUCAGAUUCUUCCUCUGGCUGGGACUUAGCACAGAGAAAGCCCUGCAGCUGACAAGGGCAGAUCUGCUCCUGCCUCUUGUCAUUGGGUAGGUCAGUCUGCGAGAAAAAGGUUGGCUUUUUCACUGCGGAGGUGCUCAUGGGCUGGGAUUUUGGUGGCCAGUCUAGCCACCUUCAUAUAAGAUGUCUAUUGCUAACUACAGCUAGCUCUCCUCAUGUGAUGCUGUGGAAACAUUACAAUGUUUUGACCGUUUUCUUUAUUACCUUAUUGAAGAGAAGUGUCCCAAAUGUAUGUGGUGACAUCCACAGUUAUUUCUUUCUUCUUGUCCUUGAUUAUUUUUUAGCAACGUGUGAGUGGGAAGAAAAAACUCCAGGAGAUCAAGCUGUACAGUAAUUAAACCCAUGCUAAAUAUUAAAUGAAGCUGUUUAACCCUAUUUUAAUGCAGUAUGCUGAAUUUUAUGUGACUGCUUAUUUGGAUGCAAACUCACUGAGUUUUGUUGAAGCUAAUGAUAAUCUUUUUCUAGACUACUUGACCAUGUAAGAAUAGCAGUGACUUGGUUCCAGGAUCAGAUAGAGCAAAUAAAUCUAAGAAAACAUUUUCACUGUCACUAGGCUUAUUUUGUUGAACCGUAAUUUAAAAAUGCAUUUAUCAUCGCUUGCUUAUCAAGAUGCAUUUCACAUGGUGAUUAGCCUGAAAUGGAGGAGUUUCUCAGAUGAAUAUCUGCUGUGCCACAGGAAUGGCAGGUUAGAAGUCAGGACUCUAGGGACUAAAUCAUGGUCCCUUUGAAACCGAUAGGCAUCUUGCCAGUCACGUUGGAUUCUGUGCUGUUUUGCUGUUUCACAUGGAUUUUGUUCUUGAUUCUUAUCAGCAACUUGCUCUGAGACCUCAGAAAGUUAUUUAACUGUUCUGACCUUUUACUUUCUGCAGCAGUAUUUUACAACCCUUUGUAUUAUUUAUAAUAUAUUGAGGUAUAAAUCUCUAAUUUAUCUCUAAUGUAUAAUACUUAAACACAAAGAUGACCAAACAUCCCUCUGUGAUUGCUCU